CAGUCACCCUGUAAGUCAGGGUGGUGGAAGGCUGAUGGAAUCUCCCAAUGAAUUAUUUCAGCUCGGUGUGGCUCCAUCAUUCUGCCAAAUUCAUCAGUACAUGUAUUCAUAAAAAUGGCAGAAAAUCUUGGGAGUGAUAAAGAAAUUUGGGUCUGAAGACAUGACAUGAACUGCCUGAAGUCACACAAGAAACAGAAACUACAGAGAAGCCGUAUGCUCAAAAGUCCUGAUCAGAGAUGCAUUCAGGGUCACCUGGUACCUUUGGAGAUUGGUGUUCUAGAUUAUGUCAUGCACUUGGGCAGGGUUUUUAGCAUCUGUUUUAGGGAUGGGAUGGGAUCUCAAAUGUUUCCUUCUAAUAUAGUGGUGUAGCCUAGUUGAAUAAGAAUUGGAUUUGGAGUCAGAAAAGUACGAACAAAUGCAAAACAGUUGCAUACAUUUGGAGGAAUCAUUUAAUUUUCCUGAGCCUCUUAGAAUCCAGAGGGCCAGUGAUGAAGAUUGUUUCCCAUCUCCUGACAGAAAUGAUGGACUAAAUAAUGCAAAAUCAAACACAUUUUUAAGACAUGGACAAUAUGGAAAUUCAAUAUACUUACCUAUUAAUAUUUGUCACAAAAAUUUGGUUUUUUUCUGUCUUUCUUUUUUUCUUCAGGGGGUAGUAGAAUUAAA